AGAGUUAAACAGUACGUGAAAUUGUCAAAAGGGAAACGCUUGAAACCAGCAUUGCGAUGCGGGAAACUCUGGCUUGUCUUUGGACAGGUUAGUACUUGCCCGCGAGCAAGUCAACAUCAGUUCUUGGCCAGUGAAAAACGCGGUUAGCUGUAGUCUUCGGACUGACUUUCCGUGAGAUGGCUGGGCAGGGACUGAGGGUCGCAGCGUUGUCUUGGGGUGCCCUGAUGCCAUGCCAAAGGUUAGGUUGCAACAGCGUGCUGAUGUAGCUUGAACGCGGUAUGCUCGUUGGGAGUUACCACUUCAACGCUUGGGAUGCUGACGUAAUGGCUUUAAACGACC
rnacentral:rRNA from 1 species